AUUGAACGCUGGCGGCAGGCCUAACACAUGCACGUAGAACGCGUGGCGGACGGGUGAGUAAUGUCUGGGAAACUGCCUGAUGGAGGGGGAUAACUACUGGAAACGGUAGCUAAUACCGCAUACCAUCGGAUGUGCCCAGAGGGGAUUAGCUCGUAGGUGGGGUAACGGCUCACCGAGGCGACGAUCCCUAGCUGGUCUGCGAGGAUGACCAGCAACACUGGAACUGAGACACGGUCCAGACGCCUACGGGAGGCAGCAGUGGGGAAUAUUGCACAAUGGGCGCAAGCCUGAUGCAGCCAUGCCGCGUGUAUGAAGAAGGCCUUCGGGUUGUAAAGGACUUUCAGCGGGGAGGCGUUACCCGCAGAAGAAGCACCGGCUAACUCCGUGCCAGCAGCCGCGGUAAUUC
rnacentral:rRNA from 1 species